rnacentral:rRNA from 1 species
UGGCGGCAGGCUAAACAUGCAAGUCGAGCGGUAACAGAGAGUAGCUUGCUACUCUGCUGACGAGCGGCGGACGGGUGAGUAAUGCUUGGGAAUAUGCCUUAUGGUGGGGGACAACAGUUGGAAACGACUGCUAAUACCGCAUGAUGUCUACGGACCAAAGUGGGGGACCUUCGGGCCUCACGCCAUAAGAUUAGCCCAAGUGGGAUUAGCUAGUUGGUGAGGUAAUGGCUCACCAAGGCGACGAUCCCUAGCUGGUUUGAGAGGAUGAUCAGCCACACUGGGACUGAGACACGGCCCAGACUCCUACGGGAGGCAGCAGUGGGGAAUAUUGCACAAUGGGCGCAAGCCUGAUGCAGCCAUGCCGCGUGUGUGAAGAAGGCCUUCGGGUUGUAAAGCACUUUCAGUAAGGAGGAAAGGUUAAGUGUUAAUAGCACUUAGCUGUGACGUUACUUACAGAAGAAGCACCGGCUAACUCCGUGCCAGCAGCCGCGGUAAUACGGAGGGUGCGAGCGUUAAUCGGAAUUACUGGGCGUAAAGCGUACGCAGGCGGUUUGUU